GACGAACGCUGGCGGCGUGCUUAACACAUGCAAGUCGAACGAAGUGGCGAACGGGUGAGUAACGCGUAAUCAACCUGCCCUUCAGAGGGGGACAACAGUUGGAAACGACUGCUAAUACCGCAUACUGAAGGUGGGGCCUGCGUGUGAUUAGCUAGUUGGAGGGGUAACGGCCUACCAAGGCGAUGAUCAGGAGGCGGUCUGGGGGGGUGAACGGCCACCUUGGGAAUGAGACACGGCCCAGACUCCUACGGGAGGCAGCAGUGGGGAAUCUUUCGCAAUGGACGAAAGUCUGACGGGGAAACGCCGCGUGAGUGAUGACGGCCUUCGGGUUGGAAAGCUCUGUUAAUCGGGACGCGGUACCGGAAUAGAAAGCCACGGCUAACUACGUGCCAGCAGCCGCGGUAAUAC
rnacentral:rRNA from 1 species